rnacentral:rRNA from 1 species
ACAUGCCUACAACAUAAAAUUAAUGCAUUGGAUACCAUUAGAACUCCACAGUUAAGCAUGCUCAGGCUAAAGUAGUAUUGGGAUGGGAGACCACCUGGGAAGUCCUAGUGUUUUACAUGCC